rnacentral:rRNA from 1 species
UACGUAGGGUGCGAGCGUUAAUCGGAAUUACUGGGCGUAAAGCGUGCGCAGGCGGUUAUGUAAGACAGGCGUGAAAUCCCCGGGCUUAACCUGGGAACUGCAUUUGUGACUGCAUAGCUAGAGUACGGUAGAGGGGGAUGGAAUUCCGCGUGUAGCAGUGAAAUGCGUAGAUAUGCGGAGGAACACCGAUGGCGAAGGCAAUCCCCUGGACCUGUACUGACGCUCAUGCACGAAAGCGUGGGGAGCAAACAGG